GCCACAAGAUGUUGAAAAACUGGUUCCUAUAUGAUCACCAAAGUUAAGCAACAUUGAGCCUGCUCAGUACCUAGAUGGGUGACUGCUUGGGAAUUCCAGGUGCUGUAAG